rnacentral:rRNA from 1 species
GAUGAACGCUGGCGGCGUGCCUAAUACAUGCAAGUCGAGCGAACAGACGAGGAGCUUGCUCCUCUGACGUUAGCGGCGGACGGGUGAGUAACACGUGGAUAACCUACCUAUAAGACUGGGAUAACUUCGGGAAUCCGGAGCUAAUACCGGAUAAUAUAUUGAACCGCAUGGUUCAAUAGUGAAAGACGGUUUUGCUGUCACUUAUAGAAGGAUCCGCGCCGCAUUAGCUAGUUGGUAAGGUGACGGCUUACCAAGGCAACGAUGCGUAGCCGACCUGAGAGGGUGAUCGGCCACACUGGAACUGAGACACGGUCCAGACCCCUACGGGAGGCAGCAGUAGGGAAUCUUCCGCAAUGGGCGAAAGCCUGACGGAGCAACGCCGCGUGAGUGAUGAGGGUCUUCGGAUCGUAAAACUCUGUUAUUAGGGAAGAACAAAUGUGUAAGUAACUAUGCACGUCUUGACGGUACCUAAUCAGAAAGCCACGGCUAACUACGUG